UAGCAACUGGCCUUCUUUUAAUGCUGAAC
rnacentral:piRNA from 1 species